CCUCCUGCAAACAUCAAUGUAUAGGAGGUCUCACCUGCCCAGUGACAAGUUAAACGGCCGCGGUAUUUUGACCGUGCGAAGGUAGCGCAAUCACUUGUCUUUUAAAUGAAGACCUGUAUGAAUGGUAGAACGAGGGCUUAACUGUCUCCCUUUUUAAGUCAGUGAAAUUGAUCUGCCCGUGCAGAAGCGGGCAUAAUAAUACAAGACGAGAAGACCCUUUGGAGCUUAAGACUCCAGAUCAAUUAUGUCAAGAACCAAACCAAGUUAAACCAAAUAACACUUGAUCCUAGUCUUUUGUUGGGGCGACCGCGGGAGAAAAUAAAGCUCCCAUGAGGACUGGACCCACCUCCAGAACCAAGAGAGACAUCUCUAAGUCACAGAACCUCUGACCAUAAAGAUCCGGCCACCCGCCGACCAACGAACCAAGUUACCCUAGGGAUAACAGCGCAAUCCCCUUUCAGAGUCCAUAUCGACAAGGGGGUUUACGACCUCGAUGUUGGAUCAGGACAUCCUAAUGGUGCAGCCGCUAUUAAGGGUUCGUUUGUUCAACGAUUAAAGUC
rnacentral:rRNA from 1 species